rnacentral:lncRNA from 1 species
CUUUUCGCUUGAGUGCUGUACAAGUGUGUCCUUCAGGUACUGAUGGAGCCUCAACAGAGCUCUCUUCUCAGCCUUGCUCUGCCAUUUCUGCUGCUACUGCAGCAGUGACACUGGAAUCCUUGAAGCAUCAAAUCUUGAAUUGGAGGAAGGUACUUCUUUCCAUAUUUUGUAUUAUGUCCUACUAAAGGAUAGCAAAGCAGAGUUGUUUGCUCC